rnacentral:rRNA from 1 species
AUUGAACGCUGGCGGCAUGCCUUACACAUGCAAGUCGAACGGCAGCACGGGGGCAACCCUGGUGGCGAGUGGCGAACGGGUGAGUAAUGCAUCGGAACGUGCCCAGUAGUGGGGGAUAACCAGUCGAAAGACUGGCUAAUACCGCAUACGACCCAAGGGUGAAAGCGGGGGACCGUAAGGCCUCGCGCUAUUGGAGCGGCCGAUGUCUGAUUAGCUAGUUGGCGGGGUAAGAGCCCACCAAGGCGACGAUCAGUAGCUGGUCUGAGAGGACGACCAGCCACACUGGGACUGAGACACGGCCCAGACUCCUACGGGAGGCAGCAGUGGGGAAUUUUGGACAAUGGGCGCAAGCCUGAUCCAGCCAUGCCGCGUGCGGGAAGAAGGCCUUCGGGUUGUAAACCGCUUUUGGCAGGAACGAAACGGCGCAGGCCAAUACCUUGCGCUAAUGACGGUACCUGCAGAAUAAGCACCGGCUAACUACGUGCCAGCAGCCGCCGCAGUAAAAC